rnacentral:rRNA from 1 species
AUUGAACGCUGGCGGCAGGCUUAACACAUGCAAGUCGAGCGGUAGCACAGGGGAGCUUGCUCCCUGGGUGACGAGCGGCGGACGGGUGAGUCAUGUCUGGGACACUGCCUGAUGGAGGGGGAUAACUACUGGAAACGGUAGCUAAUACCGCAUAACGUCGCAAGACCAAAGAGGGGGACCUUCGGGCCUCUUGCCAUCAGAUGUGCCCAGAUGGGAUUAGCUAGUAGGUGGGGUAAUGGCUCACCUAGGCGACGAUCCCUAGCUGGUCUGAGAGGAUGACCAGCCACACUGGAACUGAGACACGGUCCAGACUCCUACGGGAGGCAGCAGUGGGGAAUAUUGCACAAUGGGCGAAAGCCUGACGCAGCCAUGCCGCGUGUGUGAAGAAGGCCUUCGGGUUGUAAAGCACUUUCAGCGAGGAGGAAGGUGGUGAGCUUAAUACGUUCAUCAAUUGACGUUACUCGCAGAAGAAGCACCGGCUAACUCCGUG